UGGCCAAAAAGUUUGUUUGAGUUUUUCCAUAAGAUGGCACAAAAACCCAAAUGAACUUUUCAGCCAACCCAAUAAUAUG
rnacentral:miRNA from 1 species